UACGGAGGGUGCAAGCGUUAUCCGGAUUUACUGGGUUUAAAGGGUGCGCAGGCGGAUAUGUAAGUCAGUGGUGAAAUCUCUGGGCUUAACCUGGAAAUUGCCGUUGAUACUAUAUAUCUUGAAUGCUGUGGAGGUAAGCGGAAUAUGUCAUGUAGCGGUGAAAUGCUUAGAUAUGACAUAGAACACCAAUUGCGAAGGCAGCUUACUACACGUACUAUUGACACUGAGGCACGAAAGCGUGGGGAUCAAACAGG
rnacentral:rRNA from 1 species